GUUUCUUCUUCAGUCAUCUGCCCAUGGGACACCGUGCUUGGCCCAAAGAUAGUAUGCCGCAACUGGUCCUCGUCCACCAAAUUCAUACAACUCCGGAGCUGUGUGAUGCUUGUCUAUCUCUUCUAGAACCGGACUAAGAAUGUUCCAUGCUGCUGCAACCUCAUCGCUUCUCAUGAACAGAUGAUUGUCUCCGUCAAUUACAUCAUGAAUUAGGUGUUCAUAUGAGUCUGGAACAAAGAUGAGAAUGCAAAACUUGCCUGUCUUUAUAGAGCAAGUUAAGUUCAGAAGCGUCUAGCUGAAGACCUAAACCAGGAACCUUGUUGUUGAUUUUCACCAGGAUGGCCUCAUCAGGUUUCCAGGAACAUGCCGGAAUUGCACAUGAAUCUCCACUCUUUCAACAUUAAGGCACACCAAUCAAUUGUUAUGACAGUUGGAUAUGUCUAUGAGUAGGAAUAAUUAUUCUUACCUGUGUUUAAUGAGGCCAGUGCCAACUCUUACAAGGAAAGGUACACCAUCCCAACGUGCAUUAUCAAUAUACAAGGCUGC